AUUGAACGCUGGCGGAAUGCUUUACACAUGCAAGUCGAACGGCAGCACGGACUUCGGUCUGGUGGCGAGUGGCGAACGGGUGAGUAACAUAUCGGAACGUAUCCAAUAAUGGGGGAUAACUAAUCGAAAGGUUGGCUAAUACCGCAUACGCCCUAUGGGGGAAAGCUAGGGACCUUCGGGCCUGGCGUUAAUGGAGCGGCCGAUAUCUGAUUAGCUAGUUGGUGGGGUAAAGGCCCACCAAGGCGACGAUCAGUAGCUGGUCUGAGAGGACGACCAGCCACACUGGAACUGAGACACGGUCCAGACUCCUACGGGAGGCAGCAGUGAGGAAUAUUGCGCAAUGGACGAAAGUCUGACGCAGCCAUGCCGCGUGCAGGAUGACGGCCCUAUGGGUUGUAAACUGUUUUUGUACAGAACGAAAAGGUUUCUACUAAUACUAGGAGCUCAUGACGGUACUGUAAGAAUAAGCACCGGCUAACUACGUGCCAGCAGCCGCGGUAA
rnacentral:rRNA from 1 species